GGUCACUCUCCUUUGUCAAAUUCCAGAGGGUUCUAACCAUAAUGCUUCAGCUGCUACAGUUGGCAUAAUCAAGUUGUUGAUUGGGCACUUUGAUUUGGAUCCAAACCGAGUCUUUGAUAUUGUUUUGGAGUGUUUUGAACGUCAGCCUGGUAAA